GGUCCAGUAAGGGCCUAUUUUGGCCUCAAAUUUCAGGUUCAUCUAACGAAAGAUUUUGGACACUUUUUAAACACUUAAGUGUCUAUUUCAAUUGAUUCGAUUAAUUUAUGUGAAAGAUUUUAACUGAUUUAGUCAUUACCAACGCUCCAAUCCAAGCUUAAAUAUGAAAAAUCUAUCAAAUAUGCCAAAAACGCAUCACUUUUCUGAUGGUUUUUGUCAAAAAUGAUAGUGGCCGCAUUCGUGUUCAUCCUCAAUCUUUAUAUAUGUUAUGUAAUAUCAUCAAAUACAACUAACAUUUCAAUAUUAUGAAUGAACAUGAAUGCGGCCACUUUCAUUUAG
rnacentral:lncRNA from 1 species